AGACAUGUUCUUUCUUCAGGGUGCUGCGAGUGUACAGUAUACAGAAGAAGCGUGUGGCUUUCAAUGUUUCGAAGAUGCUGUCUGGAAUAGGGGCUGAAGGAGAGGCAAGAAGCUACCGGAUGUUUCAUGACGACAGCAUGAAGUCUUUCUUCCGUAGACUGAGUUUCACUCCCGACGGAUCUUUGCUCCUCACGCCAGGUGUGGAGCUGAUGAGUCUGCCCUAUCGCCUGGUGUUUGCUGUGGCCUCGGAGGACUCCGUGCUUCUGUAUGACACCCAGCAGCCCUUCCCUUUCGGUUACGUGUCUAAUAUACAUUACCACACCCUCAGUGACAUUUCAUGUCGUAUCUUUUCCCUGGUUUUUGCCUUCAAACAAGCUUGUGAUUUUGCUCGAACUUCCCUCUUCUAACUAGAUGUGAGAGUGUUGGUAAGGUCUGUAACUUUUCCCUGUUUUGGGGACGAAGGUCCAGCGAUGGCGCCUUCCUGGCCAUUUCUUCCACGGACGGUUACUGCUCAUUUGUGACAUUUGAGAAAGAUGAACUU
rnacentral:sRNA from 1 species